rnacentral:tRNA from 1 species
GUGGCUAUACUCAAGUCUGGUUGAAGAGAACGGUCCUGAAAACCGUCAGGUCGGAUAGUAUCCGGCGCGAGGUUUCAAAUACCUCUAGCCACG